rnacentral:rRNA from 1 species
AGUCACUGACAUUAGAUACCCGUGUAGUCCAGGGUGUAAACGCUGCAGACUUGGUGUUGGAAGUCCUUUGGGGGCAUUCAGUGCCGGAGAGAAGUUGUUAAGUCUGCUACUUGGGGAGUACGUCCGCAAGGAUGAAACUUAAAGGGAUUGGCGGGGGAGCACCGCAACGGGAGGAGCGUGCGGUUUAAUUGGAUUCAACACCGUAAAACUCACCAGGGAAGACUGUUACAUGAAAGCCGAGAUGAAGACUCUGCUAGAUUUUUCAG